rnacentral:rRNA from 1 species
CCUACGGGGGGCAGCAGUGAGGAAUAUUGGUCAAUGGGCGCGAGCCUGAACCAGCCAAGUAGCGUGAAGGAUGACUGCCCUACGGGUUGUAAACUUCUUUUAUAAAGGAAUAAAGUGAGGCCCGUGUCCCUGUUUGUAUGUACUUUAUGAAUAAGGAUCGGCUAACUCCGUGCCAGCAGCCGCGGUAAUACGGUGGAUCCGAGCGUUUUCCGGAUUUAGUGGGGUUAAAGGGAGCGUAGAUGGGUUGUUAAGUCAGUUGUGAAAGUUUGCGGCUUAACCGUAAAAUUGCAAUUGAUACUGGCAGUCGUGAGUACAGUUGAGGGAGGCGGAAUUCGUGGUGUAGCGGUGAAAUGCUUAGAUAGCACGAAGAACUCCGAUUGCGAAGGCAGCUUACUGAACUGCCACUGACGUUGAUGCUCGAAAGUGUGGGUAUCAAACAGGAUUAGAUACCCGGGUAGUC